rnacentral:rRNA from 1 species
CCUACGGGUGGCAGCAGUGAGGAAUAUUGGUCAAUGGACGAGAGUCUGAACCAGCCAAGUAGCGUGAAGGAUGACUGCCCUAUGGGUUGUAAACUUCUUUUAUAUGGGAAUAAAAUGUUCCACGUGUGGGAUUUUGUAUGUACCAUAUGAAUAAAGAUCGGCUAACUCCGUGCCAGCAGCCGCGGUAAUACGGAGGAUCCGAGCGUUAUCCGGAUUUAUUGGGUUUAAAGGGAGCGUAGGUGGAUUGUUAAGUCAGUUGUGAAAGUUUGCGGCUCAACCGGAAAAUUGCAGUUGAAACUGGCAGUCUUGAGUACAGUAGAGGUGGGCGGAAUUCGCGGUGUAGCGGUGAAAUGCUUAGAUAUCACGAAGAACUCCGAUUGCGAAGGCAGUUCACUGGACUGCAACUGACACUGAGGCUCGAAAGUGUGGGUAUCAAACAGGAUUAGAUACCCUAGUAGUC